UACGUAGGGGGCUAGCGUUGUCCGGAACCAUUGGGCGUAAAGAGCGUGUAGGCGGCCCGGUAAGUCCGCUGUGAAAGUCGGGGGCUCAACCCUCGGAUGCCGGUGGAUACUGUCGGGCUUGAGUACGGAAGAGGCGAGUGGAAUUCCUGGUGUAGCGGUGAAAUGCGCAGAUAUCGGGAGGAACACCAAUUGCGAAGGCAGCUCGCUGGGACGUUACUGACGCUGAGACGCGAAAGCGUGGGGAGCAGAA
rnacentral:rRNA from 1 species